UACGUAGGGUGCAAGCGUUGUCCGGAAUUAUUGGGCGUAAAGAGCUCGUAGGCGGUCUGUUGCGUCGGCUGUGAAAACCCGGGGCUCAACCCCGGGCCUGCAGCCGAUACGGGCAGACUAGAGUUCGGCAGGGGAGACUGGAAUUCCUGGUGUAGCGGUGAAAUGCGCAGAUAUCAGGAAGAACACCCGUGGCGAAGGCGGCUCUCUGGAACGCAACUGACGCUGAGACGCGAAAGCGUGGGGAGCAAACAGG
rnacentral:rRNA from 1 species